rnacentral:rRNA from 1 species
GCAUCCUGAACUCAGAUGUGAUUACCCGCUGAACUUAAGCAUAUUAUUU